rnacentral:rRNA from 1 species
GACGAACGCUGGCGGCGUGCUUAACACAUGCAAGUCGAACGGGCCUUGUCCCCUUUUUUUUGGGGGUGGGGUUAGUGGCGAACGGGUGAGUAACACGUGAGUAACCUGCCCCUCACUUCUGGAUAACCGCUUGAAAGGGUGGCUAAUACGGGGUGUUCUGGCCUGCUCGCAUGGGUGGGUUUGGAAAGAUUCGACCGGUUUUGGUUGUUUUGGUGGGGGAUGGGCUCGCGGCCUAUCAGCUUGUUGGUGGGGUGAUGGCCUGCCAAGGCUUUGACGGGUAGCCGGCCUGAGAGGGUGGGCGGUCACACUGGGACUGAGACACGGUCCAGACUCCUACGGGAGGCAGCAGUGGGGAAUAUUGCACAAUGGGCGCAAGCCUGAUGCAGCGACGCCGCGUGAGGGAUGGAGGCCUUCGGGUUGUGAACCUCUUUCGCCAGUGAAGAAGGUCCUGCUCUUUGUGGUGGGGUUGACGGUAGCUGGGUUAAUGAAGCGCCGGCUAACUACGUG